AGGAAUUUGGCUCAGUGGUAGAGCACUUGCUUAACAUGCCAGAAGCCAGGGGUUUAAUCCCCAGUACCAU
rfam:Ictidomys tridecemlineatus contig053844, whole genome shotgun sequence.